AUGACCUGGAAGGGUAUAUUUUUCUCCCUAGCUCUCACCCUCUCUGCUCUCUGGUAGCCAUGUAAUAAAGCAGUUUUUCUCUGCCCAGACCUUUUUGCCAUGCAGUUUCUGUGUUUAAGUCUGCUGACGAGAACUGAAAUUUCUGAACGGUGAGUCAAACCUCCUUUUCUUUAAAUUUUGGAUAUCAUGUAUUGUGUCCCAGCAAACAGGAAAUUGACUAAGGCUUUCAUCCUCCAGCGUCUUCUACUUUAAAACUGAGGAAACUAGUGUAUUGAGAAGUAAGGAACUUGUCUGAGAUUGUAGUAGGAGUGUAUUGUACUCCUUAGAAUGCACUUCCCUACCUCUUAAAUUAUGUGGUCUCUUGUUGAUAUCUAUUGAUGAAUCAUUAGAUGUAAAUCUGAAGGCUGAAUUCAAAUGAAAAAUCAACCUUAACAAAGGCUGCUUCAACCACACAACCUCAUUUCCCUUCCUGUGUUUGGAAAUGUAAAGUUUGAUUGUCACAAAUAUUUGGAUUCUACUUGAAUGGAAUGAUCGAGGCCAGGGUUGCUGACUAUCUGAAUACCAAGGCAGUGUGACUGAAGAAUUGUGGUGCCCUAAAUGCUAGCGGUAUCCCUGUGUGACAAUAGACAGAGACUGUCCUUUCUGACAUGUUCCCCCAUGUCAUUGUGGACAGAUGUGUGUUGAGAACAAGUGGAGAGGUUUCGGUGGAGCACAAAUUUUGGGGUACAAUUUUUUUUUCUGAGCUCAGUACUACCACUUACAAGUACCUUAGGGGAAGUUAGAUUAUGAAAAUUGCUUGAGCAAGAGACAGAGUGACAGAAAUUGAAGAGGGAAUAGAGAAAAGAGAGCCUGCUCAGGAGAGAGUUAGCUGUGUGGAUUCAGGCUGGGCUUUGAGUAAGGAUAAAAGUAACAGUAAUCAGAGAGGCACUGAAGGUCAAACAAUGGUCCUUCUGAUGUUCCCCGUCUUGAAUGGAAGCAUGCGUAGGUUGGCUGGAGGGAAAGGUGGGAAGGGGCUUAAGGAGUGUGGAAAGAACAAGCUGUCCUGUUCUGAAGAUUCUUACAGCCAUCUUCUGUGUGAACACGGACAUCAACAUGGCCUCACAUACUACAAAGUUGAAGAAUUGGAAGAAAAAACAUAAGACUGAUAAUACUUCAUUCUGUAAUGGAAGAUUGUCUCCUUUAAAAGCCAGUCUAUUUCCUUACUGUCCUCUGGUGGCAACAGAAUCAAUUCCAAAUUCCACUAGGUACUACUGUGCAGAUGGCCAGGAGAAGACCCUCCAGUUGUGUACCACGCACUGGGCAAGGCUUUUUGUACAUGCUUCUCUCUCAAUUAGCAACCUUCCUUUUAUUUAUAGAUAAGGAAACUGAGGCAUUAUAAAUUGGGCAAAGGC
rnacentral:lncRNA from 1 species